rnacentral:lncRNA from 1 species
GUAUAAAUAAAUAAAAAGAACAACACAAAUUACAAUAUGGACCGCCGUGACCAACAACUAACACUACAAAAACUUUAUGUUUUCUAUCUCUCAGAAACCAGAUGAAUGCACUAUUAGAGCUGGAACUACUUUCCUUUCGGAAGGUCGUCGCCAUGAUGCAUUCUACCUUUAAUGCUGCGUUUCCCUCAUCAGUAUAGCGAUUUGAAAUUGGUAAACAGUUUUUUUUUAUAUAUACAUAUACUUAUUGGGUGUCUAUAGUGUUUAUAUUUUAUUUGAAUAUUUGGCCUUUGUUUUUGGUAUUUUUUUUCUGUUCUUUUUUGUGUGCUCUACAACGUUUCAUAUUUACAGCUUUUAAAACGUUUAGUCUUGAGUAAAGGAAAAGAUUACAUGUACCUUUUUAUCUACAUGCCUGAUCUGGGUAAAUUACUACUCGUAAUACAUGCAGUUGUAUUAACAUGGCCUCCAAUUGUUGUUUAAGGUCUUGUUAUAUUUCCCUUUUAUCUAUAAGCUAAGAUCUUGGUAAUCUACAAUUCCUUAACCUAGUAAUAUUAGGACUUUAAUUGUGGAUGACCCCUGUUAACCUCUGAAUGUUCUGUGUUGUUAGAUUCCUGUCUUACUGUUGUUCACACUGAAUACCUCUCGCGGAAGAUAGAAUAAGGAAUAACGGGCAAAACAAAAUAGCGAAGAUGCGACAAGAAAUGAUCAGACAUUAAAUAGUAGAGGAAAUGGGCCUAUUUCCUCAAACCCAGGCCUUCAUACAUGUACAUGUAUGCAGAAUCUAACCACGUCAUGUGUAAGUAUCACGAAGUAUAGGUCCUACCACUUCACGUCAACAAUUAAAUCGAUAUUGUGAUAGUAGGAUUGGUC